GAUGAAGAACGCAGUGAAAUGCGAUACGUAAUGUGAAUUGCAGAAUUCAGUGAAUCAUCGAGUCUUUGAACGCACAUUGCGCCCCCUGGUAUUCCGGGGGGCAUGCCUGUCCGAGCGUCAUUGCUGCCCUCAAGCACGGCUUGUGUGUUGGGCCUCCGUCCUCCUCCCGGGGGACGGGCCCGAAAGGCAGCGGCGGCACCGCGUCCGGUCCUCGAGCGUAUGGGGCUUCGUCACCCGCUCUUGUAGGCCCGGCCGGCGCUUGCCGACACAUCAAUCUUUUUUCCAGGUUGACCUCGGAUCAGGUAGGGAUACCUGCUGAACUUAAGCAUAUCAAUAAGCGGAGGA
rnacentral:misc_RNA from 1 species